rnacentral:rRNA from 1 species
UACGGAGGAUGCAAGCGUUAUCCGGAUUCAUUGGGUUUAAAGGGUGCGCAGGUGGGAAAAUAAGUCAGUGGUGAAAUACUGCCGCUUAACGGUAGAAUUGCCAUUGAUACUGUUUUUCUUGAGUAUGGUUGAGGUAGGUGGAAUGUGUUGUGUAGCGGUGAAAUGCAUAGAUAUGACACAGAACGCCGAUUGCGAAGGCAGCUUACUAAGCCAUUACUGACGCUGAGGCACGAAAGCGUGGGGAUCAAACAGGAUUAGAUACCCC